rnacentral:lncRNA from 1 species
UGCCUGCAGGCGAAAAAACGGAUGGACUUGGCGAUCGGGACCGAGUUGUUUAUAUACAUAUAUCUCACGCGCAACUAUUAAACCAUCUGUUAUAUUAUAUCACCGCGCCUUGUGUAAAGAAAUGUUGGUGCUUGCAUAUGUAGGGUGUGGAAAAAUUAGCUCAGCGGUCAUUGCCCUUGCGGCUGACCAUACACCUAUGCGCACUUAAAUAGACCUACCUGACCGUAUGUCACCUAUUCUCUCCUUCUCUCAGGUUAUUAAAAUUGUUCGAUGCCGACAUUCUAAAAGCCACUUAAGGGAAGAAAAGUGAAUCACGAAAAUCUAGAAAAGAAAACUUAAUGAAAAAUUAUGGAUAGAAGAAAAAAAAAAUAGAAAAGAAAAUUGUUCAAUAAUAUUAAAUAUUCCUCUAGACAUUAACUUAGAAUAGAAGAAGAAAAACAUGAAAUUUAUGCGUAGUUAAUAAUAGAUUCUAAAGGGUGCAUUAUCGGUCUCAUUGUGUCCAUGGAAGGGUAUUGGUAAAAUACCUCUUCAUAACGCUUCUUGUUAUUUUGCAUAUUUCUACAUUUCUUUAACAGUUAGAACGUGAAAUUGGUUUAAAAGUCUGUAAGUAGACACACAUAUACACACAUACACUCCGGGUCAGGAGAAUAGCGUCUACACAGUGAGACAUGCAUGCUUAGCCAUAUAUAAAAUGAAUUAUUAUUAACUAUAAUCACUACAAUUAUGCCAUUUAAUUCAUUUAAUUAAUUAAUUCUUACUUUAUAUUUUGAUUAUAUUAUUUUUAUUCAUAUUUGAUCAUUCUCUUGAAUUCCUAUGUAUUAAAUUAGUCCCACAUAUAUAUACACAUGCAGUAAAAAUAGUUUUAAGGGUUAG